ensembl:lncRNA
UGACAGUGCCUUCUUUUGGAGAAGAGGGGGAGGACAGUUUAUACCUUCAGUUCACUGGAGCUACUUGAUUGCAGACUAACUGAAUGGUCUCUGGAAAGAUUAGGCAAGGCUGCAGGCAUCAGCUACCUCACCACUCUCUGCCUGGACUACACAUGGGAGGUCUACAUCAAUGGCAAUGAGCUGCAGUGUGUGGGGGUGCCACUGAGUUGCUGAAACCUGUGGCUGAAAACAGCCAAAAACUGGCAGUGAUCCAAAACAGGUCCACAUCUAUCACAGGUGUGUAUGUAAGUUUGCCUACUUUCACCUAAUUCAUUCUAUCAACAGUAGGUCAAUGCUGAAUUAAUUGUGCCGCAGGGACACGUUU